UGGGGAAUUUUGGACAAUGGGGGAAACCCUGAUCCAGCCAUCCCGCGUGUGCGAUGAAGGCCUUCGGGUUGUAAAGCACUUUUGGCAGGAAAGAAACGUCAUGGGUUAAUACCCCGUGAAACUGACGGUACCUGCAGAAUAAGCACCGGCUAACUACGUGCCAGCAGCCGCGGUAAUACGUAGGGUGCAAGCGUUAAUCGGAAUUACUGGGCGUAAAGCGUGCGCAGGCGGUUCGGAAAUAAAGAUGUGAAAUCCCAGAGCUUAACUUUGGAACUGCAUUUUUAACUACCGGGCUAGAGUGUGUCAGAGGGAGGUGGAAUUCCGCGUGUAGCAGUGAAAUGCGUAGAUAUGCGGAGGAACACCGAUGGCGAAGGCAGCCUCCUGGGAUAACACUGACGCUCAUGCACGAAAGCGUGGGGAGCAAACA
rnacentral:rRNA from 1 species